rnacentral:piRNA from 1 species
UCUAUGGUGAAAGAGAGGAAAACUGG